rnacentral:ncRNA from 1 species
UUUCUUGUUGGGCCUUUCCUGCGCAGCUUAGGUGGAAGGCGAAGAAGGCCUCCUCCCGGGGGGGCCCGAGCCAUCAGUGAGAUACCACUCUGGAAGGGCUAGAAUUCUAACCUUGUGNGAAGCACUCANGGAGCCAUCAGUGA